UUAAAAUGAGAGUUUGAUCCUGGCUCAGGAUAAACGCUGGCGGCAUGCCUAAUACAUGCAAGUCGAACGGAGGUGCUUGCACCUCAGUGGCGAACGGGUGAGUAACACGUAUCUAAUCUACCUUCUAGCGGGGGAUAACUUUUGGAAACGAAAGGUAAUACCGCAUGUGGAUGUUAUUAUCGCAUGAGAAAACAUUCAAAGAUCCGUUUGGAUCACUAGAAGAUGAGGAUGCGGCGUAUUAGCUAGUAGGCGGGGUAAAGGCCCACCUAGGCGAUGAUACGUAGCCGAACUGAGAGGUUGAUCGGCCACAUUGGGACUGAGAUACGGCCCAGACUCCUACGGGAGGCAGCAGUAGGGAAUUUUUCACAAUGGACGAAAGUCUGAUGAAGCAAUGCCGCGUGAGUGAUGACGGCCUUCGGGUUGUAAAGCUCUGUUGUAAGGGAAGAAAACAUAGGAGAGGAAAUGCUCUUAUCUUGACGGUACCUUACCAGAAAGCCACGGCUAACUAUGUGCCAGCAGCCGCGGUAAUACAUAGGUGGCAAGCGUUAUCCGGAUUUAUUGGGCGUAUAGGGUGCGUAGGCGGUUUCGCAAGUUUGAGGUUAAAGCCCGGAGCUCAACUCCGGUUCGCCUUGAAAACUGCGGGACUAGAAUAUCAGAGAGGUAAGCGGAAUUCCAUGUGUAGCGGUAAAAUGCGUAGAUAUAUGGAAGAACACCAGUGGCGAAAGCGGCUUACUGGCUGAUUAUUGACGCUGAGGCACGAAAGCGUGGGGAGCAAAUAGGAUUAGAUACCCUAGUAGUCCACGCCGUAAACGUUGAGUACUAAGUAUUGGGGAUUACCUCAGUGCUGCAGCUAACGCAUUAAGUACUCCGCCUGAGUAGUAUGCUCGCAAGAGUGAAACUCAAAGGAAUUGACGGGGACCCGCACAAGUGGUGGAGCAUGUGGUUUAAUUCGAAGCAACACGAAGAACCUUACCAGGGCUUGACAUACAGUGCAAAGCUACAGAGAUGUAGUGGAGGUUAACAUUGAUACAGGUGGUGCAUGGUUGUCGUCAGUUCGUGCCGUGAGGUGUUGGGUUAAGUCCCGCAACGAACGCAACCCUUGUCGUUAGUUACUAACAUUAAGUUGAGGACUCUAACGAGACUGCUAGUGUAAGCUAGAGGAAGGUGGGGAUGACGUCAAAUCAUCAUGCCCCUUAUGUCCUGGGCUACACACGUGCUACAAUGGCCGAUACAAAGAGUCGCAAUCUCGCGAGGGGGAGCUAAUCUCAAAAAGUCGGUCUCAGUUCGGAUUGAAGUCUGCAACUCGACUUCAUGAAGCCGGAAUCACUAGUAAUCGCGAAUCAGCUAUGUCGCGGUGAAUACGUUCUCGGGUCUUGUACACACCGCCCGUCAAACCACGAGAGUUGGUAAUACCAGAAGUACGUUUCCUAACCGUAAGGAAGGCGCGUCCCAAGGUAGGACUAGCGAUUGGGGUUAAGUCGUAACAAGGUAUCCGUACGGGAACGUGCGGAUGGAUCACCUCCUUUCUAUGGAG
rnacentral:rRNA from 2 species